CAAUAGCGUAUAUUAAAAUUGUUGCGGUUAAAACGCUCGUAGUUGGAUAUCUGCUAAGGGGUCCCGGUCCUUCCCAGUGAAGAAUACGCGGAACUCUUCUUGGCAUUUAUUCAGGGAAGGUGUUUGCACUUUGUUGUGUGUCACGUGAUCUGAAUUUUUACUUUGAGGAAAUGAGAGUGUUUCAAGCAGGCUUUCGCCGUGAAUAUGAUAGCAUGGAAUAAUAGCACAGGACCCCUUUCCAAAGCUGUUGGUUUUUGGAACGAGGUAAUCAGAAUAAGGAUAGUUGGGGGUAUUCGUAUUUAACUGUCAGAGGUGAAAUUCUUGGAUUUUUUAAAGACGAACUAUUGCGAAGGCAUCUGCCCAGGAUGUUUUUAUUGA
rnacentral:rRNA from 1 species